rnacentral:rRNA from 1 species
UACAGAGGGUGCAAGCGUUGUUCGGAAUUAUUGGGCGUAAAGGGCGCGUAGGCGGCAAUUCAAGUCAUCUGUGAAAUCUCCGGGCUUAACUCGGAACGGUCAGAUGAUACUGCUUUGCUAGAGUGCGGAAGGGGCAAUCGGAAUUCUUGGUGUAGCGGUGAAAUGCGUAGAUAUCAAGAGGAACACCUGAGGUGAAGACGGGUUGCUGGGCCGACACUGACGCUGAGUGCGCGAAAGCCAGGGGAGCAAACGGG